CUAAUUUCUCGAGGUAGCUAUCAUGGAUAUUCGCUGUCAACAAUUUCUUUUGGUCCUUAUAACCUUUGUGUUUUCUUGGGUCCCUGGAGCUGUAUGCCAGAGAACAUCAUGCCGCAAUUUCGGAUUUUUUAAUCCGACCUGUAUGUACAACGAGUUCUCCCCAUAUUGCUGCGAAGAAGGAUUUGGAAUUUCUCGAUGCUGUAGCGCGACCUCUUGCUUCUUUGGUGGUUUGAACACUUAUUGCAGUACGUUCUCGCAGUCGCGUUGUUGCCCUGUGUCGACCUCCAUUCGCAACACCAGGAGUUUCACUUGCUGUAACGGAUACCAGUACGACCUAUACAUUUCAUCCAGAAUUAGUUCGCGUUCAUCGAGUUCAUCGAGUUCAUCGAGUUACUGGAGUAAAUGGAGUUCUAGUUACUGGAGCAGCGUCAAUUCUAAAGGGGAUUCGAAUAGUACAUAUAUAGAUACUGGGUUAGUCAUUGGAAUCGUCACUGGACUAAUAGUGUUUCUCGUCAUCACCGUCGUAAUCCCGAUUGUUGUUUGUCGAAAAGCAGCUGCGAGGAGCAGUAGUCGUAGAGGUGUCAACGUUUCAGUAACUACACGACAAGGUCAGCUGGGGCCGUAUAUAUACCAACCACACGUAUCAGGAGCAACACCAUCUGCGGCUGGCCAGCCAUAUUCUCCCCAGACUCAUGGGACAGAGCCAGCGACAAUUUACAACCAGUCGUACAGCCAGCAGCAGUACGAUCCGUCCGUGAAUCCGAUCUACCUCCCAUACGCUCGAAACGAACAGCAACCAACUUCUUCUACAGCCGUCGGGACACCUCCUCCCUCGUAUGACGCAACCAUGGCAAUGGCCGGAUCUGAAAAUCAGGCAAACCCUUCGGAACCAACAAUCCACACCACUAGUGACGUUUAAUUACUAAAAAAAACAUCAAGGAACUGAAGAUUGGUGAUUGCUGCUGAACUGAGUGUUGUUGAAUGGUUAAAGAUAGAUCAAGUCACAUCGUCAAAAUGUUUUUAACUUCAUGUGUGCUUUACAUGUAGAUUGCUGUACAGUUGAUACCAAAAUCAUUUACAUUAUAUCGAAUCACGACAGAGAUGAUGGGUUGUUGUUACAUGCACGUCACGACCCUGCUGCGAGAGACUGACACGCCCUCUGGCAGUCAUUGUUACCGUAAACCUCUGCAACACAGUGAUGGCAGUCAUGUUGUCCCUUUAGAAUUGCGAUAAAUACUUAAGCAGUGAGUCAAAGGUCUAUGCAUAGAAUAACUCACUAGGUCUUUGCAUGGACGUAUCACCUAGCUUAAAAGCAGUUGCAUAGUACUCGUUUUGCAUCUUGCCUAAAUUUCUUUACAGGUAGUAUAUAAAGAUAAGUGUUGAAUGCAUAAUUGCAAUACUGUAGUAUUUCAGUCAAUGUUACGGUAAACCUCUGCAACGCAGUGACU